UACGGAGGGGGCUAGCGUUGUUCGGAAUUACUGGGCGUAAAGCGCACGUAGGCGGCUUUGCAAGUUAGAGGUGAAAGCCCGGGGCUCAACUCCGGAAUUGCCUUUAAAACUGCAUCGCUAGAAUUGUGGAGGGGUAAGUGGAAUUCCGAGUGUAGAGGUGAAAUUCGUAGAUAUUCGGAAGAACACCAGUGGCGAAGGCGACUUACUGGACACAUAUUGACGCUGAGGUGCGAAGCGUGGGGAGCAAACAGG
rnacentral:rRNA from 1 species